UACCAGCACCCCGAGUGGUCUGGACGUUUAUUGGGCCUAAAGCAUCCGUAGCCGGUUCUACAAGUCUUCCGUUAAAUCCACCUGCUUAACAGAUGGGCUGCGGAAGAUACUAUGGAGCUAGGAGGCGGGAGAGGCAAGCGGUACUCGAUGGGUAGGGGUAAAAUCCGUUGAUCCAUUGAAGACCACCAGUGGCGAAGGCGGCUUGCUAGAACGCGAUCGACGGUGAGGGAUGAAAGCUGGGGGAGCAAACAGG
rnacentral:rRNA from 1 species